GCAUAUCAAUAAGCGGAGGAAAAAGAAACCAACAGGGAUUGCCUCAGUAACGGCGAGUGAAGCGGCAACAGCUCAAAUUUGAAAUCUGGCUCUUUCAGGGUCCGAGUUGUAAUUUGUAGAGGAUGUUUCGGGUGUGGCUCCGGUCUAAGUUCCUUGGAACAGGACGUCAUAGAGGGUGAGAAUCCCGUAUGUGACUGGUAGCCUAUGCCCAUGUGAAACUCCUUCGACGAGUCGAGUUGUUUGGGAAUGCAGCUCAAAAUGGGUGGUAAAUUUCAUCUAAAGCUAAAUAUUGGCCAGAGACCGAUAGCGCACAAGUAGAGUGAUCGAAAGAUGAAAAGCACUUUGGAAAGAGAGUUAAACAGUACGUGAAAUUGUUGAAAGGGAAGCGCUUGCAACCAGACUUGCAUGUAGCUGAUCAACCGGUGUUCUCACCGGUGCACUCAGUUGCGUUCAGGCCAGCAUCGGUUUCGACGGUUGGAUAAAGGCCUUGGGAAUGUAGCUUCUUUCGGGGAGUGUUAUAGCCCAGGGUGCAAUGCAGCCUGUCGGGACCGAGGACCGCGCUUCGGCUAGGAUGCUGGCGUAAUGGUUGUAAGCGACCCGUCUUGAAACACGGACCAAGGAGUCUAACAUCUAUGCGAGUGUUUGGGUGUCAAACCCAUACGCGUAAUGAAAGUGAACGGAGGUGAGAACCCUUAAGGGUGCAUCAUCGACCGAUCCUGAUGUCUUCGGAUGGAUUUGAGUAAGAGCAUAGCUGUUGGGACCCGAAAGAUGGUGAACUAUGCCUGAAUAGGGUGAAGCCAGAGGAAACUCUGGUGGAGGCUCGCAGCGGUUCUGACGUGCAAAUCGAUCGUCAAAUUUGGGUAUAGGGGGCGAAAGACUAAUCGAACCAUCUAGUAGCUGGUUCCUGCCGAA
rnacentral:rRNA from 1 species